rnacentral:rRNA from 1 species
AACCGGCACCUCAAGUGGUCAGGAUGAUUAUUGGGCCUAAAGCAUCCGUAGCCGGCUCUGUAAGUUUUCGGUUAAAUCUGUACGCUCAACGUACAGGCUGCCGGGAAUACUGCAGAGCUAGGGAGUGGGAGAGGUAGACGGUACUCGGUAGGAAGGGGUAAAAUCCUUUGAUCUAUUGAUGACCACCUGUGGCGAAGGCGGUCUACCAGAACACGUCCGACGGUGAGGGAUGAAAGCUGGGGGAGCAAACCGG